rnacentral:rRNA from 1 species
GACGAACGCUGGCGGCGUGCUUAACACAUGCAAGUCGAGCGGUAAGGCCCUUUCGGGGGUACACGAGCGGCGAACGGGUGAGUAACACGUGGGUGACCUGCCCUCAGCUCUGGGAUAAGCCCGGGAAACUGGGUCUAAUACCGGAUAUGACUCCAUGACGCAUGUUGUGGGGUGGAAAGCCUUGUGCGGCUGAGGAUGGGCCCGCGGCCUAUCAGCUUGUUGGUGGGGUGAUGGCCUACCAAGGCGACGACGGGUAGCCGGCCUGAGAGGGCGACCGGCCACACUGGGACUGAGAUACGGCCCAGACUCCUACGGGAGGCAGCGAGUGGGGAAUCUUGCGCAAUGGGCGAAAGCCUGACGCAGCGACGCCGCGUGAGGGAUGACGG